rnacentral:rRNA from 1 species
GGUUAAGCGACUAAGCGUACACGGUGGAUGCCCUGGCAGUCAGAGGCGAUGAAGGACGUGCUAAUCUGCGAUAAGCGUCGGUAAGGUGAUAUGAACCGUUAUAACCGGCGAUUUCCGAAUGGGGAAACCCAGUGUGAUUCGUCACACUAUCAUUAACUGAAUCCAUAGGUUAAUGAGGCGAACCGGGGGAACUGAAACAUCUAAGUACCCCGAGGAAAAGAAAUCAACCGAGAUUCCCCCAGUAGCGGCGAGCGAACGGGGAGCAGCCCAGAGCCUGAAUCAGUGUGUGUGUUAGUGGAAGCGUCUGGAAAGGCGCGCGAUACAGGGUGACAGCCCCGUACACAAAAAUGCACAUACUGUGAGCUCGAUGAGUAGGGCGGGACACGUGGUAUCCUGUCUGAAUAUGGGGGGACCAUCCUCCAAGGCUAAAUACUCCUGACUGACCGAUAGUGAACCAGUACCGUGAGGGAAAGGCGAAAAGAACCCCGGCGAGGGGAGUGAAAAAGAACCUGAAACCGUGUACGUACAAGCAGUGGGAGCACGCUUAGGCGUGUGACUGCGUACCUUUUGUAUAAUGGGUCAGCGACUUAUAUUCUGUAGCAAGGUUAACCGAAUAGGGGAGCCGAAGGGAAACCGAGUCUUAACUGGGCGUUAAGUUGCAGGGUAUAGACCCGAAACCCGGUGAUCUAGCCAUGGGCAGGUUGAAGGUUGGGUAACACUAACUGGAGGACCGAACCGACUAAUGUUGAAAAAUUAGCGGAUGACUUGUGGCUGGGGGUGAAAGGCCAAUCAAACCGGGAGAUAGCUGGUUCUCCCCGAAAGCUAUUUAGGUAGCGCCUCGUGAAUUCAUCUCCGGGGGUAGAGCACUGUUUCGGCAAGGGGGUCAUCCCGACUUACCAACCCGAUGCAAACUGCGAAUACCGGAGAAUGUUAUCACGGGAGACACACGGCGGGUGCUAACGUCCGUCGUGAAGAGGGAAACAACCCAGACCGCCAGCUAAGGUCCCAAAGUCAUGGUUAAGUGGGAAACGAUGUGGGAAGGCCCAGACAGCCAGGAUGUUGGCUUAGAAGCAGCCAUCAUUUAAAGAAAGCGUAAUAGCUCACUGGUCGAGUCGGCCUGCGCGGAAGAUGUAACGGGGCUAAACCAUGCACCGAAGCUGCGGCAGCGACGCUGAUGCGUUGUUGGGUAGGGGAGCGUUCUGUAAGCCUGUGAAGGUGUGCUGUGAGGCAUGCUGGAGGUAUCAGAAGUGCGAAUGCUGACAUAAGUAACGAUAAAGCGGGUGAAAAGCCCGCUCGCCGGAAGACCAAGGGUUCCUGUCCAACGUUAAUCGGGGCAGGGUGAGUCGACCCCUAAGGCGAGGCCGAAAGGCGUAGUCGAUGGGAAACAGGUUAAUAUUCCUGUACUUGGUGUUACUGCGAAGGGGGGACGGAGAAGGCUAUGUUGGCCGGGCGACGGUUGUCCCGGUUUAAGCGUGUAGGCUGGUUUUCCAGGCAAAUCCGGAAAAUCAAGGCUGAGGCGUGAUGACGAGGCACUACGGUGCUGAAGCAACAAAUGCCCUGCUUCCAGGAAAAGCCUCUAAGCAUCAGGUAACAUCAAAUCGUACCCCAAACCGACACAGGUGGUCAGGUAGAGAAUACCAAGGCGCUUGAGAGAACUCGGGUGAAGGAACUAGGCAAAAUGGUGCCGUAACUUCGGGAGAAGGCACGCUGAUAUGUAGGUGAAGCGACUUGCUCGUGGAGCUGAAAUCAGUCGAAGAUACCAGCUGGCUGCAACUGUUUAUUAAAAACACAGCACUGUGCAAACACGAAAGUGGACGUAUACGGUGUGACGCCUGCCCGGUGCCGGAAGGUUAAUUGAUGGGGUCAGCGCAAGCGAAGCUCUUGAUCGAAGCCCCGGUAAACGGCGGCCGUAACUAUAACGGUCCUAAGGUAGCGAAAUUCCUUGUCGGGUAAGUUCCGACCUGCACGAAUGGCGUAAUGAUGGCCAGGCUGUCUCCACCCGAGACUCAGUGAAAUUGAACUCGCUGUGAAGAUGCAGUGUACCCGCGGCAAGACGGAAAGACCCCGUGAACCUUUACUAUAGCUUGACACUGAACAUUGAGCCUUGAUGUGUAGGAUAGGUGGGAGGCUUUGAAGUGUGGACGCCAGUCUGCAUGGAGCCGGCCUUGAAAUACCACCCUUUAAUGUUUGAUGUUCUAACGUUGACCCGUGAUCCGGGUUGCGGACAGUGUCUGGUGGGUAGUUUGACUGGGGCGGUCUCCUCCUAAAGAGUAACGGAGGAGCACGAAGGUUGGCUAAUCCUGGUCGGACAUCAGGAGGUUAGUGCAAUGGCAUAAGCCAGCUUGACUGCGAGCGUGACGGCGCGAGCAGGUGCGAAAGCAGGUCAUAGUGAUCCGGUGGUUCUGAAUGGAAGGGCCAUCGCUCAACGGAUAAAAGGUACUCCGGGGAUAACAGGCUGAUACCGCCCAAGAGUUCAUAUCGACGGCGGUGUUUGGCACCUCGAUGUCGGCUCAUCACAUCCUGGGGCUGAAGUAGGUCCCAAGGGUAUGGCUGUUCGCCAUUUAAAGUGGUACGCGAGCUGGGUUUAGAACGUCGUGAGACAGUUCGGUCCCUAUCUGCCGUGGGCGCUGGAGAACUGAGGGGGGCUGCUCCUAGUACGAGAGGACCGGAGUGGACGCAUCACUGGUGUUCGGGUUGUCAUGCCAA